rnacentral:rRNA from 1 species
UACAGAGGGGGCAAGCGUUGUUCGGAAUUACUGGGCGUAAAGGGCGCGUAGGCGGCCUGUUAAGUCGGACGUGAAAUCCCUCGGCUCAACCGGGGAACUGCGUCCGAUACUGGCGGGCUUGAAUUCGGGAGAGGGAUGUGGAAUUCCAGGUGUAGCGGUGAAAUGCGUAGAUAUCUGGAGGAACACCGGUGGCGAAGGCGGCAUCCUGGACCGACAUUGACGCUGACGGCGCGAAAGCCAGGGGAGCAAACGGG